rnacentral:tRNA from 2 species
GGACGUGGCUCAGCUGGUAGAGCAUCACCUUGCCAAGGUGAGGGUCGCGGGUUCGAACCCCGUCGUCCG